rnacentral:rRNA from 1 species
AUGCAGGACAUCUGGCGUCAUAUACAUUUCCUACUGCCAAUGCAAGAUGCUGCCCGUGCUGCCUGUGUGUCUCACUCCUUUCUAUGCUCCUGGAGAUGCUAUCCCAAUCUUAUCUUCACGGAAGAAACAAUGUGCUCCAAAGAAAAUUUACGUAAGAGAACAGUGGGAUCAAAUGGUAUACAAGACUACAACAACAAUAUCCACCACGUUUUAACAAACCACUCAGGCGCUGGCGUGAGGAAAUUCAGGCUUGAAUAUCAUGUUCCUUAUGAUGCAAAAUCAUAUCACCGUCUCAGUAGUUGGCUUCAGAUCGCUGUCACACCAAGUAUUGAAGAGCUCAACCUUGUAGUAUGGAAAAGAAAGAAAAAGGCAACGUUUAACUUUCCAAUCACACUUCUGUCUGACAUGUGUAAAGGCUCAAUUCAGCAUCUUCACCUUGCCAAUGUGGACCUGCAUCCAACAUUUCAACUUGGUUUGAGAACCCUGAAAUCGCUGCAUCUGCAUGGCGUGAAUAUUACGGGGGACGAGUUAGGGUGCCUUCUAUCUAAUUCCUUUGCUUUGGCACACUUGAGACUUCAAUAUUGUCAUGACCUCAUUCGCCUGGAGAUACCUUGUCUGCUGCAGCGGCUUAGGUUCCUGGAGGUGCUUGAAUGUAGCCUUCAGGUGUUAGAGAUCAAUGCCCCAAAUAUCUCGAGAUCCCGCUUACUAGAUUUUAAUGUGAAACUCUCGCUUGGAAAGUCGCGGAAGAUGAAGUACCUGAUGUUGAACAAUAGCUGUGUCAUCAGUUAUGCUAUUGACAACCUUCCUUCCUGCGCGCCGAAAGUUGAGACUCUUACCAUACAUUCUAGUUAUGAGAUUAUUAAUGCACCAGUGGCAUCUGGCAGAUUUUGCCACCUCAAGAUCUUGAUUAUUUAUUUUUUUGGAUUCCAUUCUCAUCGGGACUAUGAUUAUUUAUCCUUGGUUUCUUUUUUUGACGCUUCUCCUUUGUUGGAGAAGUUUGUCUUGUUUGUAUCGCCAGUGCAGUCCAAGUAUGACUGGUUUGAGGGAGAUCCCACAUCUCUGAGACAAAUGUCAGAACACCGCCAUCGCAACCUCAAGAGUGUGAAGAUCAGUAGUUUCUGCCCCCAAAAAAGCAUGGUUGAGCUAGCACGUCAUAUUCUUGAGAAUGCAACAUCACUUGAGUGCCUUACAUUGGACACCACUCCUGCUAGCUACCGGUGUUCUGGUGAUAUACUGGACAGACAAUGCCCUCCACUGGAAACUGAAUGUAUAAGGGAUGCACAUAAAUCACUCUUGGCUGUGAGAACAUACAUCGACGGGAAAGUUCCCUCUACAGUCAAGUUAAACCUAAUAGGGCCUUGCACCCGGUGUUAUGCCCUGUGA